AUUGAACGCUGGCGGCAUGCCUUACACAUGCAAGUCGAACGGCAGCGGACCUUCGGGUGCCGGCGAGUGGCGAACGGGUGAGUAAUAUAUCGGAACGUACCUUUCAGUGGGGAUAACGUAGCGAAAGUUACGCUAAUACCGCAUAUUCUGUGAGCAGGAAAGCAGGGGAUCGCAAGACCUUGCGCUGAUUGAGCGGCCGAUAUCAGAUUAGCUAGUUGGUGAGGUAAAGGCUCACCAAGGCGACGAUCUGUAGCGGGUCUGAGAGGAUGAUCCGCCACACUGGAACUGAGACACGGUCCAGACUCCUACGGGAGGCAGCAGUGGGGAAUUUUGGACAAUGGGCGCAAGCCUGAUCCAGCCAUGCCGCGUGAGUGAAGAAGGCCUUCGGGUUGUAAAGCUCUUUCGGCCGGGAAGAAAUCGCACAGGUUAAUACCCUGUGUGGAUGACGGUACCGGAAUAAGAAGCACCGGCCAACUACGUG
rnacentral:rRNA from 1 species